CCUACGGGUGGCAGCAGUGAGGAAUAUUGGUCAAUGGACGAGAGUCUGAACCAGCCAAGCAGCGUGAAGGAUGACUGCCCUAUGGGUUGUAAACUUUUUUUAUAUGGGAAUAAAAUGUUCCACGUGUGGGAUUUUGUAUGUACCAUAUCAAUAAGGAUAGGCUAACCACGUGCCAGCAGCCGCGGUAAUACGGAGGAUCCGAGCGUUAUCCGGAUUUAUUGGGUUUAAAGGGAGCGUAGGUGGAUUGUUAAGUCAGUUGUGAAAGUUUGCGGCUCAACCGUAAAAUUGCAGUUGAAACUGGCAGUCUUGAGUACAGUAGAGGUGGGCGGAAUUCGUGGUGUAGCGGUGAAAUGCUUAGAUAUCACGAAGAACUCCGAUUGCGAAGGCAGUUCACUGGACUGCAACUGACACUGAGGCUCGAAAGUGUGGGUAUCAAACAGGAUUAGAUACCCGUGUAGUC
rnacentral:rRNA from 1 species